rnacentral:rRNA from 1 species
UGGGGAAUAUUGCACAAUGGAGGGAACUCUGAUGCAGCGACGCCGCGUGAACGAAGAAGGCUUUCGAGUCGUAAAGUUCUUUUAUAUGGGAAGAUAAUGACGGUACCAUAAGAAAAAGCCACGGCUAACUACGUGCCAGCAGCCGCGGUAAUACGUAGGGGGCUAGUGUUGUCCGGAAUCACUGGGCGUAAAGGGUUCGCAGGCGGAAAUGCAAGUCAGGUGUAAAAGGCAGUAGCUUAACUACUGUAAGCAUUUGAAACUGCAUAUCUUGAGAAGAGUAUAGGUAAGUGGAAUUUUUAGUGUAGCGGUGAAAUGCGUAGAUAUUAAAAAGAAUACCGGUGGCGAAGGCAACUUACUGGGCUCAUUCUGUCGCUGAGGAACGAAAGCGUCGGUAGCAAACAGG